AUGCAAUCUGGGUGGUUUUUCCAGGUCCCUCCCUGCCGCCUUCCGCGCCCAGUCCCUGCCCCCGCGACGCCUGCGGGCCUGGGAGAGCGCGCGGGGACGCGCGGCCCGGGCGGGGCGAGGCUGACGCCGCUGAGCCCGCGGAGGGGGCUAUGGGCGCCCUUCCGGAUCCCGCACCUGAAAGCGCGGGACGCUGGGGCUCCGGCUGCCGACAAGGCUGGUACCCAGCCCCUCUCGGAGGCCCCCGUAGAGCCCGGCGUUCAUUCUCCCGCUCUCCCGGGGCGCGCUCUGCGGUUACCUGCGUGGCGACUGUCCACGCGGCCUAAGCUCCUGAAACCCUCCCGCCACCGGCCCUCUCGGCCCGCGCUUCCUCCGGGCGGCAAAGCCCUAUCUCCAGCGUCCCGGGAGCAUCCUGAAAGGGGCUCAGAUUUGUACCUGGCGCGGGUUACUGUAGUGAUUGGGGUACGGUUACCGGUUCUCCCAUUAUGAGUAAAGGGCCGGAUAAUUGGAGCCGAAUGAGGAAUACUUCAGACGGCGUUGUGUUCCCAAUAAGAGAUCGAUUUCAAACAUAAAAAUCCAACUUCAUCCCCAGCACUUUAUCUGGAAAACGGCAACAGAACCCACCACACGGCCGUCCGACGAGGGAGCAGGGCGAUGUGGCGGGUGGGGGGGCCCGCUAAGGUGGGCGCUCAAGUUCCCGGCAGGUUUAGCUGAACGAAGGUAGGGAGAUCGCUCGGGGAACUUGGCCAAAUCGACACAGAAGUACAAAGGCAAUGGUCCGAGGUGGAGGGCGGGAGAUCUGAGCCACGAACUGCAAAAAGCUCUGCUUUGGCUUGAUUUAGAAAAACAUCAGGUACAGUAUUCGAUACAUUUUAUUUAGGGGCUAGGGCAAAGCAAAGGAAGUGGGCCCCUGGACCGGAGGAGGCUGCAGUCUCCAGCGAGCAGCCAGCACCGAACAAGGAGGAGCAGUUAAGAGGAAACGGCGUGGGGGUCCACGGUGCCCGAAAGUUUGUUUGGUGGCCGAGAGUCCAGCCCUCUUCGCCCCCGAGACCCGCGCAACCGCGCGCGGAGGUUUCACUCCCCAAGGUGGGCAGUGAGUGACUCGGGCCGGAGGAGCGUGCGCCCCGAGCCGGGGCGGGGUGGGGGGGGGCCGGAAAGCUUCCGCCCGCUGUUUGCACUUAAAGGUGUGUUGGGCUCGGGAGCGGCUUUUCCGGGGCUUGGCCAGCGCGCCCGCCACCUCCCGGCCGCCGUUGGCCGGUCCCUCCCUCCGCAGUUGGCCCUCUCAGGGCGCCGCGCCCCG
rnacentral:lncRNA from 1 species